rnacentral:rRNA from 1 species
CUGGUUGAUCUUGCCAGUAGUCAUAUGCUUGUCUCAAAGAUUAAGCCAUGCAAGUGAAAGUAUAUGCACAUUUAUUGCAGAAACUGCGAACGGCUCAUUAAAACAGUUAUAAUCUACUUGACAUUUUAUUAUAAGGAUAACUACGGAAAAGCUGUAGCUAAUACUUGUUAAGUACUUUUACUCCCCGGAGUAAUUGUAUGUAUUUGUUAAGACCCCUAAGAAAAAAUGAUAUUAAAGGAAUUAUAACAAAGAAGCAACACAUAAUAUAAUUAUUCAGUGUGUAUCAAUCGAGUUUCUGACCUAUCAGCUUUUGAUGUUAGGGUAUUGACCUAACAUGGCUUUGACGGGUAACGGGGAAUUAGAGUUCGAUUCCGGAGAGGGAGCCUGAGAAAUAGCUACCACAUCUAAGGAAGGCAGCAGGCGCGUAAAUUACCCAAUUCUAAAUAAGAGAGGUAGUGACAAGAAAUAACAAUAUAAGGCCAAAUUUUGGUUUUAUAAUUGGAAUGAUGGGAAUUUAAAACCUUCCCAAAAAUCAAUUGGAGGGCAAGUCUGGUGCCAGCAGCCGCGGUAAUUCCAGCUCCAAUAGCGUAUAUU